rnacentral:rRNA from 1 species
ACGCUCGACACCUACGGAGGCAGCAGUAGGGAAUCUUCCACAAUGGGCGCAAGCCUGAUGGAGCAACACCGCGUGAGUGAAGAAGGGUUUCGGCUCGUAAAGCUCUGUUGUUGGAGAAGAACGUGCGUGAGAGUAACUGUUCACGCAGUGACGGUAUCCAACCAGAAAGUCACGGCUAACUACGUGCAAGCAGCCGCGGUAAUCUGAGCGGGCUGGCAAGGC